AUGCGCAUUUAACUCUUGUGUGCGCGCCUCAUAAGUCAAUUCUAGACGCAUAUUGUGAUUUUUAGUUUAGUUAAUCAUACUCUCCUCUUUUUUUUUUGUCAGUGGAAUAAGCACAGUUGAGUGCGCUAAGUUCGAGUGUAUAAUUUGUGUGGCUGUCGGAUUCUACUUUUUGCUGUACAGUUAUAUUUAGACUCACGCCAUAUUAUCAUGCGCGCUUAUUUGACAGAUACAACACAUAAUCGCUGGGUGUUUAUUUGGCGAUCAGCUGUGUGAACGCACAAGGCGGUGGUGGUGGAGCUGGAGGUGAGGCUGGCGUCGGUGCGAGCGCGGGCAUGAGCAUUGGCGGUGGCAUGAAAGGCGGCGCAGGCGGUGGUGCUGAAGGUGAGGGUGGCGCUGGUGGUGGCGCCGGUUUUGGCGCUGGUUUUAGCGUUGGUGCUGGUGCGGGCGGUAAGGGUGGCGCCGACGCAGGUGGGCGCUGAACACGGAAACUUACACCAGGCAAAAGUGAUUGUUAUUAACCGAUAAAGGCAAAUGUAAAUAAAUGUGCGUGAAGCAAACUUGAAA